CUUAUCACGCCGACGUCGCGAAAGAGCACGCGUCAGUGCAGCCGCCGUUGCGGCUACUUGCGUGAUGUUGCCUACAAUCGAGCAGCGGUGGACGCCGGCGACAUGCACUAAAAUGAAAGCUAAUGUGAAUAUAAGCAAAACAACAAUGAAAACGGGUCUUCGUUCCUUCUCAGUGCCGCGGUUUGAUGCCCUGCGGCCGCCCGCUACUGCACGACAGCGCCAUGUGUGCUGGACUACCAGCGGUGCACGCUCCCCUUCGUCGCGACCGUCAGCAGCAGAGCAACCGAACGGUGUGCUAGAAAUUUAUCGAGCGGGGUGAGGCCCGCGUGAUAGUGAAGGUGAAGUCAGGCGUCACGCGGGGCCUCUCGUGACAUUACAGCUUCAAUUAGUGGUAUUUAUUACGCCGCCAUUUCGCAUGUCAGAGCCGCCGUGCAGCCCUGGAGCCCCUUCGACCACGGAGAAAGGUGUUGCAAGUCAUAGUGCACGCGACUGUACAUCUACAUCUACAAGUGUUCCAUUCGAAGCCACCAAGUUCGUGACGCCACAGUGGGUUUGCGCCAUUGAUUAAGAGAUCAUCAUCACUAUCAACAGCACCAGAAGAAGAAGAGUUGACCAGCUGCUGUUACCGUGAGUUCCGGAUCGCUUAAUGGCUAUGCGCCGCCGCCGUCAUGCGCUUGUUGCAUCCGUACUGAUUGCGGCCUUGUUCCUCCUCUUGAGACCGACCAAGUUAAAAAGAACUGCCUUCAGCGCCACUGGAAGGUCUUGGUGGGCAAAGCUGCAGUUCUUCCACGGGCGCCUGGCAUCGUCCUGCACGCCGAGGCACACCGUGUUCUUCCUGAAGACGCACAAGUGCGCCAGCUCGACGGUGCAGAAUUUGCUGGUGCGCUACGGCGAACGGCACGGGCUGACGUUCGCGCUGCCUCCGUCCGGCGUCUACCUGGGCCACCCGGACUUUCUCAACAGAACUAUGGCGCAGGGCACGCCCCCGUUCGACAUGCUGGUGCACCAUACGCGAUUCGAGGAGGUCGAGGCGCGGGCCCUGCUUAAGCCGGACCCCGUCUUCGUGACUAUCGUGCGAGAACCUGCGUCGCUUUUCGAGUCGCUCUAUUCGUUCAACGACCUCGAGAAAACGUAUAACGUCAGACUGGAGGAGCUGCAGAAUGCCACCAAAAACGCCUCAUUGGUCAAGAAGAUAUUUCGUACCCUACCUGGUCGGAGCGGAGGUAGCCUGGGCUUUAACCAAAUGAGCUACGACCUGGGCUUCGAUAUCGAGCAAUCGCAGAACGACAGCGCUGUGAGACACUUCAUCGAGCGAGUGGACGCCGUGUUCGACUUGGUGAUGGUGGCCGAGCGUAUGAACGAGUCCCUAGUUCUUCUGCGUCACUUGCUUUGCUGGGAUGUGAACGAUGUCAUCGUGUUCAAGCUCAACGCGCGACAGAGCGACUUCCGGCGUUCGCUGAGCGCAGAGCUAACGGCCGAGCUACGGGCUCUGAACUCGGUGGACACGCUCCUCUACGAGUACUUCACGCAGCGCUUUGAGCGGCACGUUGAGGCAUUUGGCCGGCUUCGCAUGAAGAAGGAAGUAUAUCUUCUGGAGCGGCGGAUGAGCUUCUGGUACCAGCGCUGCGUGGGAGAGACCAUAUCUACAAAUAACACCAAGAUCAGCAUCACACGUAAGGUGCUGUUAUUGAAACCAAGGAAUGCAAGCGCGUACGUGUGCAAACGCAUGACUGAACCUGAGUUGCUGAUCACGAAACGGCUACGCAAGAAGAAACGAACCGUCGGAGCUGUGGCGCGCUUCUUACGAUGGAUAAUAUAGAAUUCACAUACGCUGACAGUUCUUUCGCAUGCUCACGCUGGCCCAAAGCACGUUCUUGAUCCCUCCUUCGCCCGCCAAGCCUCCACGUGACUUCAUAGGGACGACAGGCUGCGCCGGAGCUCUGCGUCAUGGCUGUCAUCACGUGUCCGCGGAGCCCCUUGCCUGUUGGACCGAGAAAAUAACACAGCAGUAGACACCGAAAUCGGCGAGACUGGCGAGCGCUGGACAUGACAAGACUGCGAGCCAUGGUGCACAACGAAGGAAGGGUCUAGGGCAAACAUUUCAUUCCUAUUCUUUGUCACGACCUGUCUUUGUUUGCCACACGACCUUGGCAAACGUCUCAGUCGUAACACGCCUGCUUCCAAGCGAAUC